GGGCAUCUCUCCUUCCCCUCGUCAGCUUCAGGGCAUCUCUCAUUCUGAAGAUGAAGUCUCCUUCCCCUCGUCAGUCUCAGGGCAUCUCUCCUUCCCCUUGUCAGGCUCAGGACACCUCUCUUUUCCCCUCAUCAGCCUCAGGGCAUCUCUCCUUCCCCUCGUCAGCCUCAGCGCAUCUCUCCUUCGGAAGAUAAAGUCUCCUGCCCCUCGUCAGCCUCAGGGAAUCUCUCCUUCCCCUCGUCAGCCUCAGGGCAUCUCUCCUUCCCCUCGUCAGCCUCAGGGCAUCUCUCCUUCUGCAGAUGAAGUCUCCUUCCCCACGUCAGCCUCAGGGCAUCUCUCCUUCCCCUCGUCAGCCUCAGGGCAUCUCUCCUUCUGAAGAUGAAGUCUCCUUCCACUCGUCAGUCUCAGGGCAUCUCUCCUUCUGAAGAUGAAGUCUCCUUCCCCUCGUCAGCCUCAGGGCAUCUCUCCUUCCCCUCGUCAGCCUCAGGGCAUCUCGCCUUCUGAAGAUGAAGUCUCCUUCCCCUCGUCAGCCUCAGGGCAUAUCUCCUUCCCCUCUUCAGCCUCAGGGCAUCUCUCCUUCUGAAGAUGAAGUCUCCUUCCCCUCGUCAGCCUCAGGGCAUCUCUCCUUCUGAAGAUGAAGUCUCCUUCCCCUCGUCGGCCUCAGGGCAUCUCUCCUUCUGAAGAUGAAGUCUCCUUCCCCUCGUCAGCCUCAGGGUAUCUCUCCUUCCCCUGGUCAGCCUCAGGACAUCUCUCCUUCCCCUCGUCAGCCUCAGGGCAUUUCUCCUUCUGAAGAUGAAGUCUACUGCCCCUCGUCAGCCUCAGGGGAUCUCUCCUUCCCCUCGUCAACCUCAGGGCAUCUCUCCUUCCCCUCGUCAGCCUCAGGGCAUCUCUCCAUCCCCUCAUCAGCCUCAGGGCAUCUCUCCUCCUGAAGAUGAAGUCUCCUUCCCCUCGGCAGCCUCAGGGCAUCUCUCCUUCUGAAGAUGAAGUCUCCUUCCCCUUGUCAGCCUCAGGGCAUCUCUCCUUCUGAAGAUGAAGUCUCCUUCCCCUUGUCAGCCUCAGGGCAUCUCUCCUUCUGAAGACGAAGUCUCCUGCCCCUCGUCAGCCUCAGGGAUCUCUCCUUCCCCUCGUCAGCCUCAGGGCAUCUCUCCUUCCCCUCGUCAGCCUCAGGGCAUCUCUCCUUCCCCUCGUCAGCCUCAGGGCAUCUCGCCUUCUGAAGUUGAAGUCUCCUUCCCCUCGUCGGCCUCAGGGCAUCUCUCCUUCUGAAGAUGAAGUCUCCUUCCCCUCGUCAGCCUCAGGGCAUCUCUCCUUCCCCUCGUCAGCCUCAGGGCAUCUCUCCUUCUGAAGAUGAAGUCUCCUUCCCCUUUUCAGCCUCAGGGCAUCUCUCCUUCCCCUCGUCAGCCUCAGGACAUCUCUCCUUCCCCUCGUCAGCCUCAGGGCAUCUCUCCUUCCCCUCGUCAGCCUCAGGGCAUCUCUCCUUCUGAAGAUUAAAUCUCCUUCCCCUCGUCAGUCUCAGGGCAUCUCUCCUUCCCAUUGUCGGCCUCAGAGCAUCUCCAUCCCCUCGUCAGCCUCAGCGCAUCUCUCCUUCUGAAGAUGAAGUCUCCUUCCCCUCGUCAGCCUCAGGGCAUCUCUCCUUCCCCUCGUCAGCCUCAGGGCAUCUCUCCUUCUGAAGAUGAAGUCUCCUUCCCAUCGUCAGCCUCAGGGCAUCUCUCCUUCUGAAGAUGAAGUCUCCUUCUCCUCGUCGGCCUCAGGGCAUCUCUCCUUCUGAAGAUGAAGUCUCCUUCCCCUCGUCAGCCUCAGGGUAUCUCUCCUUCCCCUGGUCAGCCUCAGGACAUCUCUCCUUCCCCUCGUCAGCCUCAGGGCAUCUCUCCUUCUGAAGAUGAAGUCUACUGCCCCUCGUCAGCCUCAGGGGAUCUCUCCUUCCCCUCGUCAACCUCAGGGCAUCUCUCCUUCCCCUCGUCAGCCUCAGGGCAUCUCUCCAUCCCCUCAUCAGCCUCAGGGAAUCUCUCAUCCUGAAUAUGAAGUCUCCUUCCCCUCGUCAGCCUCAGGGCAUCACUCCUUCCCCUUGUCAGCCUCAGGGCAUCUCUCCUUCUGAAGAUGAAGUCUCCUUCCCCUCGUCAGCCUCAGGGCAUCUCUCCUUCUG
rnacentral:lncRNA from 1 species